rnacentral:rRNA from 1 species
UACAGAGGUCCCGAGCGUUGUUCGGAUUCACUGGGCGUAAAGGGUGCGCAGGUGGCUUGGCAAGUUUGGUGUGAAAGCUUCGGGCUUAACCCGGAAAAUGCAUUGAAAACUGCUGAGCUGGAGGAUUGGAGGGGGGACUGGAAUUCUUGGUGUAGCAGUGGAAUGCGCAGAUAUCAGGAGGAACACCGGUGGCGAAGGCGGGUCUCUGGGCCGAUACUGACGCUGGAGGAGCGAAAAGCGUGGGGGAGCGAAACAGG